rnacentral:rRNA from 1 species
GAUGAACGCUGGCGGCGUGCCUAAUACAUGCAAGUCGAGCGAACGGACGAGAAGCUUGCUUCUCUGAUGUUAGCGGCGGACGGGUGAGUAACGCGUGGAUAACCUACCUAUAAGACUGGGAUAACUUCGGGAAACCGGAGCUAAUACCGGAUAAUAUUUUGAACCGCAUGGUUCAAAAGUGAAAGACGGUCUUGCUGUCACCUAUAGAUGGAUCCGCGCUGCAUUAGCUAGUUGGUAAGGUAACGGCUUACCAAGGCAACGAUGCAUAGCCGACCUGAGAGGGUGAUCGGCCACACUGGAACUGAGACACGGUCCAGACUCCUACGGGAGGCAGCAGUAGGGAAUCUUCCGCAAUGGGCGAAAGCCUGACGGAGCAACGCCGCGUGAGUGAUGAAGGUCUUCGGAUCGUAAAACUCUGUUAUUAGGGAAGAACAUAUGUGUAAGUAACUGUGCACAUCUUGACGGUACCUAAUCAGAAAGCCACGGCUAACUACGUGCCAGCAGCCGCGGUAAUACGUAGGUGGCAAGCGUUAUCCGGAAUUAUUGGGCGUAAAGCGCGCGUAGGCGGUUUUUUAAGUCUGAUGUGAAAGCCCACGGCUCAACCGUGGAGGGUCAUUGGAAACUGGAAAACUUGAGUGCAGAAGAGGAAAGUGGAAUUCCAUGUGUAGCGGUGAAAUGCGCAGAGAUAUGGAGGAACACCAGUGGCGAAGGCGACUUUCUGGUCUGUAACUGACGCUGAUGUGCGAAAGCGUGGGGAUCGAACAGGAUUAGAUACCCUGGUAGUCCACGCCGUAAACGAUGAGUGCUAAGUGUUAGGGGGUUUCCGCCCCUUAGUGCUGCAGCUAACGCAUUAAGCACUCCGCCUGGGGAGUACGACCGCAAGGUUGAAACUCAAAGGAAUUGACGGGGACUCGCACAAGCGGUGGAGCAUGUGGUUUAAUUCGAAGCAACGCGAAGAACCUUACCAAAUCUUGACAUCCUUUGACAACUCUAGAGAUAGAGCCUUCCCCUUCGGGGGACAAGGUGACAGGUGGUGCAUGGUUGUCGUCAGCUCGUGUCGUGAGAUGUUGGGUUAAGUCCCGCAACGAGCGCAACCCUUAAGCUUAGUUGCCAUCAUUAAGUUGGGCACUCUAAGUUGACUGCCGGUGACAAACCGGAGGAAGGUGGGGAUGACGUCAAAUCAUCAUGCCCCUUAUGAUUUGGGCUACACACGUGCUACAAUGGACAAUACAAAGGGCAGCGAAACCGCGAGGUCAAGCAAAUCCCAUAAAGUUGUUCUCAGUUCGGAUUGUAGUCUGCAACUCGACUACAUGAAGCUGGAAUCGCUAGUAAUCGUAGAUCAGCAUGCUACGGUGAAUACGUUCCCGGGUCU